rnacentral:rRNA from 1 species
GGAAUAUUGGACAAUGGGGGAAACCCUGAUCCAGCCAUGCCGCGUGUGUGAAGAAGGCCUUUUGGUUGUAAAGCACUUUAAGCAGUGAAGAAGACUCUGUGGUUAAUACCCACAGACGAUGACAUUAGCUGCAGAAUAAGCACCGGCUAACUCUGUGCCAGCAGCCGCGGUAAUACAGAGGGUGCAAGCGUUAAUCGGAAUUACUGGGCGUAAAGCGAGCGUAGGUGGCUUGAUAAGUCAGAUGUGAAAUCCCCGGGCUUAACCUGGGAACUGCAUCUGAUACUGUCAGGCUAGAGUAGGUGAGAGGAAGGUAGAAUUCCAGGUGUAGCGGUGAAAUGCGUAGAGAUCUGGAGGAAUACCGAUGGCGAAGGCAGCCUUCUGGCAUCAUACUGACACUGAGGCUCGAAAGCGUGGGUAGCAAACAGGAUUAGAUACCCUUG